CGCAAAAUCUGCACACCUGCUUGAACCUGCAAGUUGUGAAUAGAGGGUUAAUCAUGGAACUAAAUAUCACAACUGUUAUGGAAUUAUGGUACAGAACAAUUUGGUUAAAAUGAGCACCAAAUGAGGUGUUGCCUACAAUGGUCCAGCAAAUUAUAACAGAAAAAA